AGAGUUUGAUCCUGGCUCAGGAUGAACGCUGGCGGCGUGCUUAACACAUGCAAGUCGAACGAACCUUCGGGUUAGUGGCGGACGGGUGAGUAACGCGUGAGAAUCUGCCCUCAGGAGGGGGAUAACAGUUGGAAACGACUGCUAAUACCCCAUAUGCCGAGAGGUGAAAUGAAUUUCGCCUGGGGAUGAGCUCGCGUCUGAUUAGCUUGUUGGUGGGGUAAUAGCCUACCAAGGCUUCGAUCAGUAGCUGGUCUGAGAGGACGAUCAGCCACACUGGGACUGAGACACGGCCCAGACUCCUACGGGAGGCAGCAGUGGGGAAUUUUCCGCAAUGGGCGAAAGCCUGACGGAGCAACGCCGCGUGAGGGAUGGAGGCCUUUGGGCUGUAAACCUCUUUUCUCAAGGAAGAAGAUCUGACGGUACUUGAGGAAUAAGCCACGGCUAAUUCCGUGCCAGCAGCCGCGGUAAUACGGGAGUGGCAAGCGUUAUCCGGAAUUAUUGGGCGUAAAGCGUCCGCAGGCGGCCGUUUAAGUCUGUUGUUAAAUCGUGGAGCUCAACUCCAUCACGGCAAUGGAAACUGUUCGGCUUGAGUAUGGUAGGGGCAGAGGGAAUUUCCGGUGUAGCGGUGAAAUGCGUAGAUAUCGGGAAGAACACCAGUGGCGAAAGCGCUCUGCUGGGCCAUUACUGACGCUCAUGGACGAAAGCCAGGGGAGCGAAAGGGAUUAGAUACCCCUGUAGUCCUGGCCGUAAACGAUGAACACUAGAUGUUGGGGGAAUCGACCCCCUCGGUGUCGUAGCUAACGCGUUAAGUGUUCCGCCUGGGGAGUACGCACGCAAGUGUGAAACUCAAAGGAAUUGACGGGGGCCCGCACAAGCGGUGGAGUAUGUGGUUUAAUUCGAUGCAACGCGAAGAACCUUACCAAGGCUUGACAUCCUGCGAAUCUCUAAGAAAUUAGAGAGUGCCUUCGGGAACGCAGUGACAGGUGGUGCAUGGCUGUCGUCAGCUCGUGUCGCGAGAUGUUGGGUUAAGUCCCGCAACGAGCGCAACCCACGUUUUUAGUUGCCAGCAUUCAGUUGGGCACUCUAGAAAGACUGCCGGUGACAAACCGGAGGAAGGUGUGGACGACGUCAAGUCAUCAUGCCCCUUACGCCUUGGGCUACACACGUACUACAAUGCUGCGGACAAAGAGUAGCGAUCUUGCGAAAGUUAGCUAAUCUCAUAAACCGUGGCUCAGUUCAGAUCGUAGGCUGCAACUCGCCUACGUGAAGGAGGAAUCGCUAGUAAUCGCAGGUCAGCAUACUGCGGUGAAUACGUUCCCGGGCCUUGUACACACCGCCCGUCACACCAUGGAAGUUGGCCAUGCCCGAAGUCGUUACUCUAACCUUUUGGAAGAGGGCGCCGAAGGCAGGGCUAAUGACUGGGGUGAAGUCGUAACAAGGUAACC
rnacentral:rRNA from 1 species